AGCGAGAUGGCGCAGCUGGUAGCGCGCUGGGCUCAUACCCAUGAUGCGAAAGCAUUAAUCGAGGACACCCAGAGGUCGUCGGAUCGAAACCGACUCUCGCUA
rnacentral:tRNA from 1 species